AUUGAACGCUGGCGGAAUGCUUUACACAUGCAAGUCGAACGGCAGCACGGACUUCGGUCUGGUGGCGAGUGGCGAACGGGUGAGUAAUAUAUCGGAACGUAUCCAAUAAUGGGGGAUAACUAAUCGAAAGGUUGACUAAUACCGCAUACGUCCUACGGAAGAAAGCUAGGGACCUUCGGGCCUGGCGUUAAUGGAGCGGCCGAUAUCGGAUUAGCUAGUUGGUGAGGUAAAGGCUCACCAAGGCGACGAUCCGUAGCUGGUCUGAGAGGACGACCAGCCACACUGGAACUGAGACACGGUCCAGACUCCUACGGGAGGCAGCAGUGGGGAAUUUUGGACAAUGGGCGAAAGCCUGAUCCAGCCAUUCCGCGUGAGUGAAGAAGGCCUUCGGGUUGUAAAGCUCUUUCGCAAGAGAAGAAAACUUACCCUCUAACAUAGGGUGAGGUUGACGGUAUCUUGAUAAGAAGCACCGGCUAACUACGUGCCAGCAGCCGCGGUAA
rnacentral:rRNA from 1 species